AAAACCCCAAUUUUUUUUUAAAGUUUAAAUUAGAUCAUUCAAGUUUUCUAAUAAUUUCAUACCAGCCUUCCCACAGUUUAUUUCUUCUUAUUUUCUGUCGUCCCCUCAUCUUCUUAUCUCAUUUCUUUUUUCCAGCGCCUCCUCUUCUCCAACUACUAGCAACACUUCCUCUUCUUCCUUAUGCACCACCACCAAAUCGACGAUAAUAUCCUGAUCCUCCAUCUCCUUUUCGCCAUCACCAAUGACAACACCUCCUCCUUUUACUCAACGAAUAUAAAAUACAGAUUGAGUAUGCGAAUUAGGGAAAAAAAAGGAAUUGAUCAUCGAGGAGGAAGAAUUAUUGAAAGGCUUGAAUAAUGAACAGGGUGAGGAAGAAUAUAUUGGUUUUGGUUGCUUUCGUGAAAUCGUGUAUGCGAAAAUGAAAGUGAAAGUUAGAGAUGCCGUUAUUGCAUUGAUUAAUCAAGAACGCCAUGGAAAUGAAAUUGAUAGGAGUUUGGUGAAGAAUGUCUUAGAGAUUUUUGUUGAAAUUGGGAAUGAAAAAGGUGAAGAUAAGUUGGAUUACUAUGUGAAUGAUUUCGAAACUGCGUUUUUAAACGAUAUGGUUGAUUAUUAUAAUAGGAAAGGUUCUAAUGAGAUGACGGUUGUAGAAUGUUUGCAAAGGGAGAAGGAUCGGGUUUCUCACUAUUUACAUUUCAGUACUGAGAAGAAGCUGUUGAAACAAGUUCAAGGUCAUGCGUUGCUUGAAAAUGCCCAAUAGAAUCUUGAAAAAAAAAAAGAAAUGCGGCUCCUGAUGAUCUCUGAAGGAUGUACUGACUCUAUCUAAUACUUAGAAGAUGCGAAGGAAGGAGACAUUUUUAGAAUAAAUGGAUCAUGACUAUAAAUUACUGCUUGUCAUUUUUUAGUUAAUGACUUAUUGUUUCAUCGUUACAGGUUACAUCGGCUUUUGCAUUGUCAUCUGGAGUGACAGUGUGGAACGCUUUCGUAUUCGAGAUAGUGAUGACAUUUGGUCUUGUAUACACUGUAUAUGCAACAACAAUUGAUCCAAAUAAGGAAAGUCUGGGAACAAUUGCACCACUUUCCAUUGGUUUCAUUGUUGGAGCUAACAUUUUGGCCGGUGGAGAUUUCUAUGGAGCAUCCAUGAACCCAGCUGUCUCUUUUGGUCCUGCCGUUGUCAGUUGGACUUGGACUAACCACUGGUUUUAUGAUGAAAAUUCAACUUGGGGAAAAGAGAUUUGAUAUUUAUAUGAUGAUUCAUGUUGUUGUUGUUGUUGUUGUUACAGAUGAUGAUGAGGAAGGAGCGAUUUGCAACUAAAACGUCGGACUACUGCUGAAAUACUUGAGAUGUUUGAAGCUUUGGGAGUGCCACCAGUUUUGAAUGAUGACGCAGAAGAUGUUGUGCAUUGUAACUUAGUUACAGACUUUUCUACAAAAAAUCGUUAUGAAUGGUUGGUGGAGCAGAUGCCAAAUACCAGUGAAGUACCCUUCUCUUGCAUAUGGAUAUAAUAUGACCCCCUAAAGAUGGUACAGGGAGGAACAAUUGCUACUCAACUCCAAGCUUGGAAAUUCAGCACACUUUAUUUAGUAACAGUUUUAUCAAGGCGGCGCAUGGCAAUCUGCUCAUGACACCUUCUACGGCGGCAGUGAUGCCUCUGGCUCCAUGGGCGGAGCAGUGGAUAUGGAAAUCUGUACAGUCAAGGUUAUGAAGUACAAACAACAACAUUAAGUACAUCAUUAUUCAACAAUGGGGUUAAGUUUUUUGGUUCAUGUUUUGAGCUGAAAUGUGCUAACGAUCCACAUUGGUGUCAUUCCGGCAGUCCGUCGAUUUUGAUUACGGCUACUAAUUUCUGUCCGCUGAAUUUCGCACAAGCUAGUGAUAAUGGUGGUUGGUGUAACCCUCCUCGUCCACACUUUGAUCUUGCUAUGCCUAUGUUCUUGAAGAUUGCUUAGUACCGUGCCGGGAUUGUUCUUGUUGCUUAUCGCCGAUUUUAUAUCGACGAAACCAAUCUCGUUGGUGAUACGGUAAUUUAUGUUGAAACGAGUUUUGGUUGCUUUUCGAUUUUUUUCAAUAUUUUUUUUUACUUUUUGUCGAUGAAACCAAUAUUAUUUGUGAUACGCUAAUUUUAUAUUGAGACGAGCUAUGGUUUUAUUUUCUUAUUUAAUUUUUUUAUUGAUUAGACGAAUCUUGUUGGUCAUACGAUAAUUUAUGUUGAAACGAGUUUCGGUUUCAUCUAAUUUUAUUGUUUUUUUAAA